CAUACAAGAUGGCAAACAGAUUGGGAUUGAGAUUGGGAUGUCGGAUCGUUAGCGAGAUAAGCGUCUGAGUUGGAUGUGAGUCUGUGUCAGUCCACAACCAUCCACAGACCACCCAACCACCCACAAGUGAGAGAAAUGAAAUUUCACAAUUUAUAAUCCGAGGCGUUACCGUGAAAACCCACCAACCCACCAUGGGCAACAUGGUGAGCAAAACUCAAAAGUCAAACUGAAAGUUGUCAACAUUGGAUUUGCUCCAUGGAUGAUACUUACGUUCAGCUUGGGCUCGGAGGUCACCACCACUCCUCGCGUUGGGCUGACAAAGGCCAGCGAGGCUGUCGAUGAUGAGGACGAUGUGGAGGAUGAGGAUGACCGGUGGGCGGGCAUUAGCGAUGCGGGCGGCAUCUUGGGCAGAUUGCCGGAGACUGGUCGACACACGCAGGUCAACAUUUUCGACGCGCUCUUUUGAUUUUUCGCUUCGAUUUAUCUUUGAUUUAUUUGAAUUUAUGAUUCGUUUCGGUUCUUAUUUAAUGCACUUGGAGAAACUAACGAGUUAUGAUUUUCAGUUCGAAGGAUUGCAGUCUCUGUGUUUUAAAUAAAUGCUCUAUACUUUAAGUCUCAGUAAUCCCAAGUGUUUAUGGAUUAAAGUAAAAACCUAUUCUAAUGUAAUAUAUACAUAUAUAAAGUA